rnacentral:rRNA from 1 species
UACGGAGGGAGCUAGCGUUGUUCGGAAUUACUGGGCGUAAAGCGCGCGUAGGCGGCUUUGUAAGUUAGAGGUGAAAGCCCGGAGCUCAACUCCGGAACUGCCUUUAAGACUGCAUCGCUUGAAUCCAGGAGAGGUGAGUGGAAUUCCGAGUGUAGAGGUGAAAUUCGUAGAUAUUCGGAAGAAACACCAGUGGCGAAGGGCGGCUCACUGGACUGGUAUUGACGCUGAGGUGGCGAAAGCGUGGGGAGCAAACAGG